AAAAAAGAUAAUCUCUGGUUUCCGUGCCCAACGUUUGACCGUCCGUCUUAUUUGAAAAAAUUAUGAAAAAAAUUAAAAAGACAAGUCACGCAUAAAAUAUUAAUCAUGUUUUAUCAUCUAACAACAAUGAAAAUACGAAUUAUAAAAAAAUUUCAUAUAAGACGAACGGUCAAAGUUGGACACGAAAACUCAGGGUUUGUCUUUUU
rnacentral:pre_miRNA from 1 species